AUAUGGAUUUGGUGUUGACAGCUUGAGAGAUUGGUGUUGUUGGUGCAGCCGAAAUGCAAAGGUGGAUCAUUUGAUGCAGUGAAUGAGUUAAUUCAGCAUCCAGUUGAGAUUGGAGCUGAAAUGGUUAGAGUUAUUGAGUAGUAAGUCCAGUUGAGAAGAGAACCUUAAAGAAGUCCCAAUUUCUGGAAUGGUGAUUAAUGGAGAAUUACUCCUGGACUGCAACAAAAGGACCAACUGGAAGCUUCAGCUGAAGAAAUCUGAAACCUAAGGAAACUAAGUGUAAACUAGAGGAGAGAAAGGACUCGGAGCAUUGAGUUGUUGCUGCAGGACAGCAAGAAAGAUCCUUGGAUCUGAGAUUAAUUCGAGGAAGCUUAAUCACAGGUCGACGACGCGCUGAUUACGGUAGAGACCGUUCUAGUGCUAGUUGCACUGAGUCGCGAGAGAUAGUUGUCGACGCAUUCCGAGACAUUGAUCUUAGUUGAUUGACACCACUUCAGAGCCUUCCGCAACGGGGAGGCAACGACUAGCUAGAGCCCCGCGAUGUGUGAUAGAUGAGCCCACAGAUUAUAUAUUUGACUUAGUUCAGUGGAAUCUAUUGUACUCUAUUUGAGAUUACGCGGAUUUUGUUGUACUCUUGAUUGGGUUAUUGUAAUCUCGAGAUUUUUUUUUUGUUACA